rnacentral:tRNA from 1 species
GGAGAGGUGCCAGAGCGGCUUAUUGGGGCGGUCUCGAAAAUCGUUGUGCUCUUUUAGAGUACCGAGGGUUCGAAUCCCUCCCUCUCCG